rnacentral:tRNA from 1 species
GGAUGUAGCGUAGUUGGUUAACGCGCCAGAUUGUGGCUCUGGAGAUCGGGGGUUCGAGUCCCUUCAUC